GAUGAACGCUGGCGGCGUGCCUAAUACAUGCAAGUCGAGCGAACAGACGAGGAGCUUGCUCCUCUGACGUUAGCGGCGGACGGGUGAGUAACACGUGGAUAACCUACCUAUAAGACUGGGAUAACUUCGGGAAACCGGAGCUAAUACCGGAUAAUAUAUUGAACCGCAUGGUUCAAUAGUGAAAGACGGUUUUGCUGUCACUUAUAGAUGGAUCCGCGCCGCAUUAGCUAGUUGGUAAGGUAACGGCUUACCAAGGCGACGAUGCGUAGCCGACCUGAGAGGGUGAUCGGCCACACUGGAACUGAGACACGGUCCAGACUCCUACGGGAGGCAGCAGUAGGGAAUCUUCCGCAAUGGGCGAAAGCCUGACGGAGCAACGCCGCGUGAGUGAUGAAGGUCUUCGGAUCGUAAAACUCUGUUAUUAGGGAAGAACAAAUGUGUAAGUAACUAUGCACGUCUUGACGGUACCUGAUCAGAAAGCCACGGCUAACUACGU
rnacentral:rRNA from 1 species